rnacentral:rRNA from 1 species
GAUGAACGCUGGCGGCGUGCUUAACACAUGCAAGUCGAACGGAAAGGCUCCUGCUUGCAGGGGUACUCGAGUGGCGAACGGGUGAGUAACACGUGGGUGAUCUGGCCUGCACUUCGGGAUAAGCCUGGGAAACUGGGUCUAAUACCGGAUAGGACGAUGGUUUGGAUGCCAUUGUGGAAAGUUUUUUCGGUGUGGGAUGAGCUCGCGGCCUAUCAGCUUGUUGGUGGGGUAAUGGCCUACCAAGGCGUCGACGGGUAGCCGGCCUGAGAGGGUGUACGGCCACAUUGGGACUGAGAUACGGCCCAGACUCCUACGGGAGGCAGCAGUGGGGAAUAUUGCACAAUGGGCGCAAGCCUGAUGCAGCGACGCCGCGUGGGGGAUGACGGCCUUCGGGUUGUAAACUCCUUUCGCUAGGAACGAAGCGCAAGUGACGGUACCUGGAGAAGAAGCACCGGCUAACUACGUG